AGGAAUAUUGGUCAAUGGGGGAAACCCUGAUGCAGCGACGCCGCGUGAGUGAAGAAGUAUUUCGGUAUGUAAAGCUCUAUCAGCAGGAACGAGACAAGACGGUACCUGACUAAGAAGCCCCGGCUAACUACGUGCCAGCAGCCGCGGUAAUACGUAGGGGGCAAGCGUUAUCCGGAAUCACUGGGUGUAAAGGGAGCGUAGACGGCUGAGCAAGCCUGAAGUGAAAGGCGGGGGCCCAACCCCUGGACUGCUUUGGGAACUGUACGGCUGGAGUGCAGGAGAGGUAAGUGGAAUUCCUAGUGUAGCGGUGAAAUGCGUAGAUAUUAGGAGGAACACCAGUGGCGAAAGCGGCUCUCUGGUCUGUAACUGACGCUGAGGUUCGAAAGCGUGGGUAGCAAACAG
rnacentral:rRNA from 1 species